rnacentral:rRNA from 1 species
CCUACGGGAGGCAGCAGUGAGGAAUAUUGGUCAAUGGGCGGAAGCCUGAACCAGCCAAGUCGCGUGAGGGAAUAAGGCCCUACGGGUCGUAAACCUCUUUUGCCGGGGAGCAAGGGCCGGGACGAGUCCCGGUCCGGAGAGUACCCGGAGAAAAAGCAUCGGCUAACUCCGUGCCAGCAGCCGCGGUAAUACGGAGGAUGCGAGCGUUAUCCGGAUUUAUUGGGUUUAAAGGGUGCGUAGGCGGGCGUUUAAGUCAGCGGUAAAUAUUCGGGACUCAACCGCGUACGGCCGUUG